GACGAACGCUGGCGGCGUGCCUAACACAUGCAAGUCGAACGGAAAGGCCCUGCUUUUGUGGGGUGCUCGAGUGGCGAACGGGUGAGUAACACGUGAGUAACCUGCCCUUGACUUUGGGAUAACUUCAGGAAACUGGGGCUAAUACCGGAUAGGAGCUCCUGCUGCAUGGUGGGGGUUGGAAAGUUUCGGCGGUUGGGGAUGGACUCGCGGCUUAUCAGCUUGUUGGUGGGGUAGUGGCUUACCAAGGCUUUGACGGGUAGCCGGCCUGAGAGGGUGACCGGCCACAUUGGGACUGAGAUACGGCCCAGACUCCUACGGGAGGCAGCAGUGGGGAAUAUUGCACAAUGGGCGGAAGCCUGAUGCAGCAACGCCGCGUGCGGGAUGACGGCCUUCGGGUUGUAAACCGCUUUCGCCUGUGACGAAGCGUGAGUGACGGUAAUGGGUAAAGAAGCACCGGCUAACUACGUGCCAGCAGCCGCGGUGAUACGUAGGGUGCGAGCGUUGUCCGGAUUUAUUGGGCGUAAAGGGCUCGUAGGUGGUUGAUCGCGUCGGAAGUGUAAUCUUGGGGCUUAACCCCUGAGCGUGCUUUCGAUACGGGUUGACUUGAGGAAGGUAGGGGAGAAUGGAAUUCCUGGUGGAGCGGUGGAAUGCGCAGAUAUCAGGAGGAACACCAGUGGCGAAGGCGGUUCUCUGGGCCUUUCCUGACGCUGAGGAGCGAAAGCGUGGGGAGCGAACAGGCUUAGAUACCCUGGUAGUCCACGCUGUAAACGGUGGGUACUAGGUGUGGGGUCCAUUCCACGGGUUCCGCGCCGUAGCUAACGCUUUAAGUACCCCGCCUGGGGAGUACGGCCGCAAGGCUAAAACUCAAAGGAAUUGACGGGGCCCCGCACAAGCGGCGGAGCAUGCGGAUUAAUUCGAUGCAACGCGUAGAACCUUACCUGGGUUUGACAUGGAUCGGGAGUGCUCAGAGAUGGGUGUGCCUCUUUUGGGGUCGGUUCACAGGUGGUGCAUGGCUGUCGUCAGCUCGUGUCGUGAGAUGUUGGGUUAAGUCCCGCAACGAGCGCAACCCUUGUUCACUGUUGCCAGCACGUUAUGGUGGGGACUCAGUGGAGACCGCCGGGGUCAACUCGGAGGAAGGUGGGGAUGACGUCAAGUCAUCAUGCCCCUUAUGUCCAGGGCUUCACGCAUGCUACAAUGGCUGGUACAGAGAGUGGCGAGCCUGUGAGGGUGAGCGAAUCUCGGAAAGCCGGUCUCAGUUCGGAUUGGGGUCUGCAACUCGACCUCAUGAAGUCGGAGUCGCUAGUAAUCGCAGAUCAGCAACGCUGCGGUGAAUACGUUCCCGGG
rnacentral:rRNA from 1 species